GACGAACGCUGGCGGCGUGCUUAACAAAUGCAAGUCGAACGGAAAGGCCCUGCUUUUGUGGGGUGCUCGAGUGGCGAACGGGUGAGUAACACGUGAGUAACCUGCCCUUGACUUUGGGAUAACUUCAGGCAACUGGGGCUAAUACCGGAUAGGAGCUCCUGCUGCAUGGUGGGGGUUGGAAAGUUUCGGCGUUUGGGGAUGGAAUGGCGGCUUAUCAGCUUGUUGGUGGGGUAGUGGCUUACCAAGGCAUUGACGGGUAGCCGGCCUGAGAGGGUGAGCUGCCACAUUGGGAUUGAGAUACGGCCCAGCCCCCUACGGGAGGCAGCGGUGGGGAAUAUUGCAUAAUGGGAGGAAGCCUGAUGCAGCAAAGCCGCGUGCGGGAUGACGGCCUUCGGGUUGUAAACCGCUUUCGCCUGUGACGAAGUGUGAGUGACGGUAAUGGGUAAAGAAGCACCGGCUAACUACGUG
rnacentral:rRNA from 1 species